CAAGGCUAUAGCCUUGGAUAUUUUUCAAAUUUUUGGAAACCUAACCUUGAUCUUGUGUAUAAGUUAAUUAAUUUUGUUAUUAUUUUUAGAGUCACUGCAGUGACCCGUCUCUUACCGACAGAUUGAAGCAAGGUAUGGAUCAUAUUCUUAGUGUUGCUAAGGAGAUUGCUGAAGUUGAAAUAUCAUUUGGUUUACAAGCAUCAGUUGAAGAUUAUCAAAGAGAAUUCAAAUUUGGUUUAACUGAAGUAGUCUACCAAUGGGCCAAGGGAGAGGAAUUUAUUAAUGUGAUACAACUAACUGAUGUAUCUGAAGGUGUUAUAGUGCAAGUGUGUUCAGAGAUUGGAUGAAUUGUGUCGUGAUAUUGGUAAAGCUUGUAAACUGGUGGGAGAG